rnacentral:tRNA from 1 species
UUACAUUUAUUAUAAAAAAUAUAUUAAAUUUAGAAUUUAAAGAUCAAGUGUAAA